AACCACGCUGCGUUUUGGUCCGCCUCUCCUUCCCAGGAAGAAAGCCGUUACAGUCUUCUGGAGAAAAAUGUUCCGACAGAAGAGAGAGAAGCUGCACGUAUCAAACUAUAGUUAACAAACAAAUGGCCUACCAAAAUGUCUGAAAUUAUAAGCAGAAACGUGUCUAAAUUCGAGGUGCAAGUAGCCAGUAGUAAAUUAUCAUAAAACAUUAUCGUGGAUGGAACUGCGCAGGUAGCCAUCUUUUUGACGUGAUUUGUUUGACAAGCAGAUGAAAACAUCCUCACACAACACUCAUGCUGUCAGCCAUUCUUCCACCAUAAUAGACGUGUUUCACCUGAAGAAUGACGGUGGAUCUGGAUUCAUCGAGCGAAGAAGGAAUGACUGUCUCCACAUCGUUACAAAACAGGCAUUUAACUUCUCAAUGACAGCAGCAGCAGCGAGUGCAUGCAGGCAUGACAGUGGACAGGCUAAUGUCCCUCUCCCCCUCUCCUCCCCGUGGUGGUGUCUGGAACAUCAGUCUCAUCUGACUCCUGGCACACAACGACCUCCCCCCUCUCCUCUCUUUGAGGAGGACGCAGAGGAAGGUUCUUUGUGCCGAUUAGGGAGCCUGGACUAAUGUGUCAGUGCCAGCAGAGUGGCCAGGACUGAGGACUCCGCAUUGAUUUUCCCCUGCAGGUGCUGUGGGACUGAGCCCUAAAAUGAUGUGUAAUUGUAAUUGAUUAGUGGUCAUGAGCUGCUCUGUCAACAGAGCUCUGUUCUGGGUCGUACUAUUUAGGCACCAAAUAGAAGAAACGGACUGAAACAGGAAGGGAUCACCUGAACUUGUCAAAUAAGAAACGUUUCGCUACGGUGUGCUCUAAUGAAUAUGGCCGUGACCUGACCUUUCCUCUCCUUGGUCUGUCCGUGACUGUGUGAAAAGAAGAUGUGACGUCCAUCCUUGAGGUGAGACUGAGGUGAAACUCAGUCUUUAGUCUGGCAACACAGUAUCUGGUUCCUUUUCCCUUAUUACUAUGACAAAAUAUGGAUGGACAAGAGAAAUCAGCAAUUCUGUUUAACUGAACACCACUGUGUGAUUGGGCAUGGUGCAGAUGACUGCAAAGUUCAAAUCAAAGCACUGUUAUUCACAACGACGGUCAAACCACCAAUUCUGUAGUGAGUCAUGGUUCCAAGAAACUCAGGUCAGAAGAUAAGGUAGGAUUUUAUUUGAGUUUUCUCCGUGAAAUGUUAAGAGAAUUUCUGUUAAAAUGCCUUGGCUUGGUCCUUAUCGUAGCCUUGGGUGACAAUGUAUAUUCUCAGCAUACUUAGAUCAUGCAUCUCCAUAAAGUAUGCUAUAAUAAUACUAUGUGUGGUCCCAAAAAAUACGUUGCACCGGGCCCACCACUCAGCGGCAGCUCUACCGUGGUCUCAGUGAUUUCUCUCACAGCAGGGGCAGCAUUAACAGAGCAGCCAUUUGCCGUAAUAGCUUACAGAUGGUUCUUAUUUGACUUGUCAGCCGAGUCUACCGAGCCUAGAUGUGCUGCUAUUGACUACGGCACCAAAUUAACCCCACUGUUGUCCUGUCACCCUCCCUGUUGUCUCUCUAAUAGUCUCAUCAAAGGAGAAAGUCUACUUGGCACUUUAUUACCGUUGCUUCUUUAGCCUUCAUUGGCAGUACACACCCUCAUUAUCAACAGUCGCUAUUAUGAAACUAAACCCACCCCUGUCAACACUGAAGUAGAGCAUUUGAUCCCUGGGACCCCCCCAUACGUAAACAA